rnacentral:lncRNA from 1 species
CAGCUCGUUUCUAAAUCAACGGAGGCAUGUUGCUGAGAUAUAUUAUCUUAUGGAACAACUCGUAAAUUUGUCUGCCAUUUAUGAUAAGAUUGGUUCGUCGUUUGCUGAAUAGGAGGCCCCUAGGUAAAGUGGUUAGCGGACCACCGUCGAUGCCUUCUCUUUUUGGAACUCAUGGUACGAAGACUGACAGAUGGGAAAUUAAAGGACACCU